GGGGCAGGGGUAGAUAGCAUAUUGGUUUUGCAAAGAGACUCUGAUGCCUGAGGCUCCAAAGUCCCGGGUUCAAUCCCCUGCACCACCAUAAGCCAGAGCUGGAAAAAAAAAAGUUUGAAAGAUGUUUUUUUCUUUUUGGUUAUUGUUUCUUUUAAUUUUUUUUUUGUACUAAGUUACCUACAACUUUAGACUAGAUGGAUCAGGAUCAUUUGGUUCUGUCACUAUGUAAGAUAUUGCUGUUAGUUCAUAUCAUUAAAUGACAUGAAGCAUGGUGAGAUGAAAUAUAGUAAGGUAAAUCCCAACUAUAGAAUUUUCAAAGAAAAGCAAGCUCUCAAUUAACUUGGCUAUAAUAAUUAUCUAUUGCCUUUUUUAAAUCCCAAGACUACAGGAUCCUUCCCCAUUCUCUUUAAUAUACAUAUUUAUCCCAGUCCAUGCCACAUUAUGCUGCUACUGACUUUUUGCUGCGUAUUGUAUCCAGAGAUGACGCCAAGUCAGAGAUGUCAACUUUCCAACCCCAGAAGUCUGCAUCUACUUUAUUAUCAACUCUUGAUAAUCGUUAGAAAAAACAAUGUGUAAUGUUGGCCAAGAGAUAUACUGAUGAAAAUUAUUUAUCAACUAAAAGACAAGUAUUGUCUCUAUGACAACCUUUAUUUAAAGGACUAUGGAAAGCGUCACAUGUGAGAUAAAUGCACUCAAAGACUCCUCACAAGUAGCUCUUUGGAGCUUCAAAUGUGAAAUGGAUCAUUCCUCAGUCUGUAAUAGACCCUUCUGUGAAGCUCUUCAAUCAAACCUGAGAAUUCAAGGUGAAAUUGAGGGGAGGAUGGAGAACCCCUACAGAGGAUUUCAGUGAACUAGCUAAGCAUUUUGUGGCAUCCUAAACAGAAGGAUAUUAAAGGAAGCUGAUUCUGCUUUGAUCCUUGUACUUGUUGUCAAAGCGUUUGGGAUUGAAGAGACUGUUGGCUACAAUUGACUGUGACAAUUAGGAGAUGAUCAGAGUCCUAGAGUGGAGCACUUAAAGGGUUUGCAUUGAAAACACUCUUGGAGCACUAAUUGUAUAAAAUUCUGGUAACUGUACAUUCUCCCUUCCGAGAGGUAAUGAGUGAAUGAAUGAAAAGGCAGGGAUAUUUGCCAUUCUAAGUGAGAUUGUCAGAACAUUUCUACUUGACUGAAAUUGUUUUGGAAGGCAUUUCAUAUUACCCCCGUGUCAUCUAUAAUUGUUAGCAGAGUCAGGACUGCUGAUGGAAGUUUGUGAUGGAGGUGAAAAGCUGUGGGUCCUUCUCAGCUACUAUUUCUUUAUCAUUGAAUCCUUUGGGAUAUAUGCAUAUGAGAUAAUCACACAUUCUCACCUUUAAACCCGGAGAUGAAGAAAAUUGCUUCUUCAACACUGUUAAGUAAAUAGGACUUUCCUUUGGAGAAUUGUGUGUCUUCACCAUUUGGAAGCAUAUCAAGGAAAUAAGCUUGUUCUCUAUGCUUGUAAUGGCUGCCAGAAGGUUGAAAUUGAAAAGCAGGGAGUUCAUCUCAGAAAGUUGAAAGACAAGCAUCCUGAAUUCUACAAGUCCCCGACGUUGUUGACAAUGGCAUGAACUGAAAGAAUUUAAAACAUCACUGAAAACAUUUAAUCUCUUCAUAAACACUCAUUCAGGAGUGAAUGCCUUGGUAAAGAUGGAAAUUUUCUUUCUUACCUCAUUAUUUUUCCCUGCACAGAAGUGAGUUACCUUCACUCUA